AUACGUAUGGGGCAAGCGUUAUCCGGAUUCAUUGGGCGUAAAGCGCGUGUAGGCGGCUUGUUAAGUCAGAUGUGAAAACCGGGGGCUUAACCCGCGGCGUGCAUCUGAAACUGGCAGGCUUGAGUCUGGUAGAGGAAAGUGGAAUUCCUAGUGUAGCGGUGAAAUGCGCAGAUAUUAGGAGGAACACCAGUGGCGAAGGCGGCUUUCUGGGCCACGACUGACGCUGAGACGCGAAAGCUAGGGGAGCAAACAGGAUUAGAAACCCCAGUAGUCC
rnacentral:rRNA from 1 species